rnacentral:lncRNA from 13 species
GCAGGAGAUCGGGAUUUGCGGCUGGGAUUUCUUGGAUUGAUUCCCAAGGAUUCCCCAAAUUCCCGGUUUUCCCGUUGUGUUUCCAGCGGAUCCCCCGGCCCUUCCCUGCCCCUGGAGCUGGAGGAGCUGCAGGAGACCGAGAUCAGCUUUUGAAGCGGUGCCGACGGCUCCCGGAUGGAAUCCCAAAAAUCCCUUGAAUUCCCACUUUUCCACCAAUCCUGGGAGCUGGAAGACCGGGAAUCCCCUUGGAAAACCGGGAAUGGCACCUGGGAAAAACAUCGGGAUUCCCCUGGAAUUCUCGGAGCUGCCGCUUUCCUUGGAAAAGCGAGGAAGAGGAGCUGCUCCAGCGAAGGGAUGAAACCCUUGGGAAGAGGGAGCUGAAACUUCCCAGGAAUUCCUGAAUUUUGGGAUAAAAGGGGGGUGAAUUCCUGGAAAAUUCCCAGCGGGAAUCGGAGCCGCGCCGGGAAUUGGUUUGGGGUUUUUUUUUUUGGUAUUUUUAUCCCGAUUUUUUUGGAAGUUCCUUUGGAUCCGAUCCCAGUUUUUAGUCCUGCAGGAAUUCUUGGGAUUAUUAAUUAUUAAUUAUUAUUUUUUAUUGAUAAAUCGGGAUUUGUUCCGGCUUUUCCAAGGAAAAAUCCCAGGGAAAACAGGGAAAAAGAGGAGCAGAAAUCAUGGAAAAGCUCCUGGCUCCUCCUCCCUUCUCCCAGCAGGAUUUUUGGGAAGCUUUUCCCACAAUCAGGGAAGAAUUUGGGGACUUUUUGGGGAUUUUUUGGGAUCUUCAGAAGCCGAGCCCUUCCUGGGAUUUGCAGCCCUGUUUUUUUAAGGAUUUCCCUCAAAAAUCCCGGAUCAAAUCCCAGUUUUCCGAGCCCCAAAUCCCAUUUUUUAGAGCUUGGCUCUGAGAUUCCCACAAAAUCCCCGCCUCCCACAAAACUCCAGCUGCGUUCGGAGCAGAUUUUGGGAUGGGGAAAAAAGCUGGAAUGAGGAAUUUUCCACCUGGAUCCAUCUCAAAUNCCCGUUCCCAUUCCCAGGUUCCCAUUCCCAGGUUCCCAUUCCCAUUCCUAGGUUCCCAUUCCCGUUCCCAGGUUCCCGUUCCCAGGUUCCCAAUCCCAUUCCCAGGUUCCCAUUCCCAGGUUCCCAGGUUCCCAAGUUCCCGUUCCCAUUCCCAGGUUCCCAUUCCCAGGUUCCCGUUCCCAUUCCCAGGUUCCCGUUCCCAUUCCCAGGUUCCCGGCCGGACCUGCUCCCGCGGCCGCUCCCCGGCUCCGGGGCCGAUGCCGGCAGUGACUCGGUGGCCACGUCCCUGUCCCUGUCCAGCCCCUCCCUCGGCAGCGCCGGCGCCGGAUCCCCCCCCAGCAGGUCCGUGGGGGUCGAGGUUCACACGGCCGAGGGCUCCAGGCCCGGAGCAGCUCCCGGAGCUUCCCUGCCCAGCGGAUCCCCCGGCCCUUCCCUGCCCCUGGAGCUGGAGGAGCUGCAGGAGACCGAGAUCAGCUUUUGAAGCGGUGCCGACGGCUCCCGGAUGGAAUCCCAAAAAUCCCUUGAAUUCCCACUUUUCCACCAAUCCUGGGAGCUGGAAGACCGGGAAUCCCCUUGGAAAACCGGGAAUGGCACCUGGGAAAAACAUCGGGAUUCCCCUGGAAUUCUCGGAGCUGCCGCUUUCCUUGGAAAAGCGAGGAAGAGGAGCUGCUCCAGCGAAGGGAUGAAACCCUUGGGAAGAGGGAGCUGAAACUUCCCAGGAAUUCCUGAAUUUUGGGAUAAAAGGGGGGUGAAUUCCUGGAAAAUUCCCAGCGGGAAUCGGAGCCGCGCCGGGAAUUGGUUUGGGGUUUUUUUUUUUGGUAUUUUUAUCCCGAUUUUUUUGGAAGUUCCUUUGGAUCCGAUCCCAGUUUUUAGUCCUGCAGGAAUUCUUGGGAUUAUUAAUUAUUAAUUAUUAUUUUUUAUUGAUAAAUCGGGAUUUGUUCCGGCUUUUCCAAGGAAAAAUCCCAGGGAAAACAGGGAAAAAGAGGAGCAGAAAUCAUGGAAAAGCUCCUGGCUCCUCCUCCCUUUUCCCAGCAGGAUUUUUGGGAAGCUUUUCCCACAAUCAGGGAAGAAUUUGGGGACUUUUUGGGGAUUUUUUGGGAUCUUCAGAAGCCGAGCCCUUCCUGGGAUUUGCAGCCCUGUUUUUUUAAGGAUUUCCCUCAAAAAUCCCGGAUCAAAUCCCAGUUUUCCGAGCCCCAAAUCCCAUUUUUUAGAGCUUGGCUCUGAGAUUCCCACAAAAUCCCCGCCUCCCACAAAACUCCAGCUGCGUUCGGAGCAGAUUUUGGGAUGGGGAAAAAAGCUGGAAUGAGGAAUUUUCCACCUGGAUCCAUCUCAAAUCCCAAAAUCCCGGAGCAGCCCCUCGGACUGGAGCUGACUUUGCACUCCAUCCCUGGUUUUUUUUUAUGGAAAAAAACGACUUUUCCCAAGAUUCCCGCUUGGAAAACUCCCAGCUUUUUAUAAAAAACCCGGAAUUUCGAGCUUUCUAUGCCGAAGAAAUCGUGGAAUGUAGAGCAGGAAGGGAAUUUUUUCCGGGAGAUUCCCAAGGCUCUUCCCACUUUCCCCUUCUCCAUAUUUUUUUAAGGAAAAGCUGUUUUCUCCCCCCCCCUAAAAUCCCGGAUUUUUCCCUCAAAACCCCCCCUGGAAUGGCCUUAUCCCGGGAAUCCGGAGCUGGUUGGAUCUCAAGGGCUCUCAGCAAUUCCCACCUGGAUUUUCCAAGAUUCCCAGAGGAAAUUUGGGGAAGAUUCCGUUGGAUUUUCCCCUUUUCCCGUGGAUUUUCCCCUUUUCCCUUGGAAUAACUGUCUAUAUUAGACAUUCCCUUCCCAAUCCCUGUUUAUUCCCAUUUUUUAUCGGACCAGGAGGGGGAAAACCGACCCGAUUUUCCCGAUUUUCCCGAUUUCUUUUCCCCCCCCCCAGGAUCGAAUAUUUAUGAAGUAUUUAAAUAUUUCGGGAUGCUUCCCCUUUUUCCUGGGAAUUCUCCUCCUCCGGAGGCUGGGCCAGGCUGGGAUGUUCUGGGCUGGGGUUGGUUGCGUUUUUUUGGUAUCUGCCUGUUCCAGAGGGGCCGGAAUGGGGAAGGGUUUGGGAAUUCCGGGGAGGAUUUUCCAGGAGAUAAAAGAGAGUAUUUGGCUCCUCCGAGGACAGAUGGACUUUCCUUGGAAUUGGGAAUGGAAUUCAUGGGAUUUUCGUGCCUGGCCGGGAAUUUCUGUCACCUCACCCGGGAGAAUCCGGUGCCUCCGGAGCGGCUCCGGAUCGUGGACGGACUUUCCCUGGAAUGGGGAUGGAAUUUUCCUGGCCUGGGGAUGGAAUUCAUGGAAUUUUCCUGGCCUGGGAGCGGACUUCCCGGGAAUUAAAGUCCCCGUUGUCCCCUCACGGAGCCGCCGGCCCCGGGAGGAUCCGAUGCCGAUGGAUUUCUCCUGGAUUGGGGAUGGAAUUCCUGGAGUUUCCUGCCCGCUCGGGAGCCGCCGUCGCCGCCGUCCCCUCGGGCCACGCCGGGAGCUCGGCCCCGGGCUGGACCUGCCCUGGCCGGGGGGCGGUGGAGCCCAGGGGGUGUUCCCGGACUGGGACUGGACUGGGACUGGACUGGGACUGGACUGG